UAAUCGACUACAUGGAAUUAAAAUUUGAGUCUGUAGAAAAACAAAUUAUGAGUACAAAAAAAAAGCAUUUUGUAUGAUAUUGGUCAGAACUAUCAAACACACUCAUCUCAUAAAUCUAAUAAUUCAGCGGCACCAACAGAUCAAGCAGACGAGUCCUGGCAAUCAAAGAUUGGUGUCUCAUUUCCGAUCGAAAAAUUGGAAAUUUUUCUAUCAUUUGAUGAGGAUUUAAAAGCCAAUAUUGAAAUGAGAAAUGCAUUUAAAACUAUGUAUUAUGCAUGAACGCGUGGAAGCUGCGAGUAUGAUAAAAGCAUAAAAAAAUUAUGUCAGAAUUAUUGAAAAGGGAAAUACAAACUUUAUACAGCGGAGUUGGACCAGUAACGAAAGGUGUUGGAAAAGAAAAUUUCAGUGCUACUGAAGUAUUUUCAUUGAUUCGAGAGUUUCUUAAAAAAAAAUAUUCUGAUCAAAAAAAGACUAUGAAAAUUAUCAGUGUUCUGAGCACAUAUUUAUCUGGAGCUGAGGAUCGUGAGGGUGGAAGACUGUCACGAAAAAAAGAUUAAAUAAAAUAAUCUAUGCCUUAUUGUUCUUG